rnacentral:rRNA from 1 species
GAUGAACGCUGGCGGCAGGCCUAACACAUGCAAGUCGAGGGAGAAGCCCUUUCGGGGGCAGAAACCGGCGCACGGGUGCGUAACGCGUAUGCAACCUACCUUUCACAGGGGGAUAGCCCGAAGAAAUUUGGAUUAAUACCCCAUAAUAUUAUUGGAUGGCAUCAUUUGAUAAUUAAAACUGCGGUGGUGAAAGAUGGGCAUGCGUCCUAUUAGCUAGUUGGAGUGGUAACGGCACCCCAAGGCUACGAUAGGUAGGGGUCCUGAGAGGGAGAUCCCCCACACUGGUACUGAGACAGGGACCAGACUCCUACGGGAGGCAGCAGUGAGGAAUAUUGGUCAAUGGUCGGAAGACUGAACCAGCCAUGCCGCGUGCAGGAAGAAUGCCUUAUGGGUUGUAAACUGCUUUUAUAUGGGAAGAAUAAGGCGUACGUGUACGUUGAUGACGGUACCAUAUGAAUAAGCAUCGGCUAACUCCGUG